ACCUUAGAGACUAACUAAGUUUGCUCUGGGUAUAAGCUUUCAUGUGCAUGCAAACUUCUUCAGAUACCAAAGCUUAUACCCAGAACAAACUUUGUUGGUCUCUAAGGU
rnacentral:miRNA from 1 species